UGUGUUACAACGUGCUCCGUGUUGACGUCAGCUGAGCGACAGUGUUUAUCUCGAGGUUUCUUUUCUUGGACACAAUGAAUUGCCCUAGCAGUGUUGUGUAUCACAUAUCUAGCAAUUACAAGCAAUUGGGGAC
rnacentral:lncRNA from 1 species